rnacentral:rRNA from 1 species
GACGAACGCUGGCGGCGUGCCUAAUACAUGCAAGUUGAGCGAUGAAGAUUGGUGCUUGCCCCAAUUUGAAGAGCAGCGAACGGGUGAGUAACGCGUGGGGAAUCUGCCUUUGAGCGGGGGACAACAUUUGGAAACGAAUGCUAAUACCGCAUAACAACUUUAAACAUAAGUUUUAAGUUUGAAAGAUGCAAUUGCAUCACUCAAAGAUGAUCCCGCGUUGUAUUAGCUAGUUGGUGAGGUAAAGGCUCACCAGGGCGAUGAUACAUAGCCGACCUGAGAGGGUGAUCGGCCACAUUGGGACUGAGACACGGCCCAAACUCCUACGGGAGGCAGCAGUAGGGAAUCUUCGGCAAUGGACGAAAGUCUGACCGAGCAACGCCGCGUGAGUGAAGAAGGUUUUCGGAUCGUAAAACUCUGUUGGUAGAGAAGAACGUUGGUGAGAGUGGAAAGCUCAUCAAGUGACGGUAACUACCCAGAAAGGGACGGCUAACUACGUG